AUUGAACGCUGGCGGCAUGCUUUACUCAUGCAAGUCGAACGGUAACAGGCCGCAAGGUGCUGACGAGUGGCGAACGGGUGAGUAAUGCAUCGGAACGUGCCCAGUCGUGGGGGAUAACGCAGCGAAAGCUGUGCUAAUACCGCAUACGAUCUAUGGAUGAAAGCGGGGGACCGUAAGGCCUCGCGCGAUUGGAGCGGCCGAUGUCAGAUUAGGUAGUUGGUGGGGUAAAGGCUCACCAAGCCAACGAUCUGUAGCUGGUCUGAGAGGGCGACCAGCCACACUGGGACUGAGACACGGCCCAGACUCCUACGGGAGGCAGCAGUGGGGAAUUUUGGACAAUGGGCGCAAGCCUGAUCCAGCAAUGCCGCGUGCAGGAAGAAGGCCUUCGGGUUGUAAACUGCUUUUGUACGGAACGAAAAGGUUUGGGUUAAUACCCUGGGCCGAUGACGGUACCGUAAGAAUAAGCACCGGCUAACUACGUGCCAGCAGCCGCCGUAA
rnacentral:rRNA from 1 species